UGUCUUUACUUUCUUCACUGCCUAGCUUCAAAUACAAAAACAUAGAAACAAUACAAGAAAAACAGAAUAUGCUUUUAUCAAAACAAAAACAUAAAAACAAUACAAGAAAAACAGAAUAUGUUUUAGCAAAACAUAUCCAAAGAGAACCAUGAAAACUUUUCAUCAGGAGGAGGGCUAGAGGUAAUUUCAUUAUUAUUUUACCAUUAGCAUUUCCCAUGGGUAUGCAUUUACUUUUAUUGUUAAUCUUGACUUUUAAGAUUUGUAAAAAGCACUAUUUACAAAGCUGUUAGCAGGAUCUCCCUUAAGGUAGGAGAUAAAUGGACUUGAUUAGUCUGUGUUCUCAGGCAUGUUGGAAAGGGAGAUAUCCUGGGAGUUAAGUUUGACUUUAGGGACUGUAAUUCCAACACAGGAAAGUCUAUCUUCUUAACUAGAAUACUUGUUCUUGUCCCAGGGGUAUAGUGAGAAUGCUGCAUGGUCAAAUUGGUUUGUAUAAGUGGAAACUGACAAUAUGUGAGAAGGCCAUGCUGCAGACGUGAUGUUUGGUGGCAACUGAGCUUCUAAAUAAGAGCUAAGCAAGUUUCCCUGAUUCUUCUGCCUUCAUUUGGAAACAUAUCAUCAGAAACGUCAAACUGGAGGAAAUGUCACAAUUUUGAUGUUACUUCCUCCAGGAAACCUUCUUGAUUCCCCAAGACUGGAUCAGGUGUCUCUGAGGAAAUGCAGAGCUUCCUAUUCAAGAUUAUGGUUUACCAUGUGGUCAAACUGUAUGUGGUACCUGGAGAGAAGCAGAUGAGGACUGAAGCUAAAUAUUCCCGACUCAAUAUGCAUAGCCCAAGCUUUCUUAUGCAACUUGACCUGCGGCAUAGUUUUCCUGGGGCAAGAAUAACAAUUCUCUGUGUAAAAAUACAUGCUCUCAUCCUCUCUCUCCAUGUGGAGACCUUCACCCUCACAAGAUGA
rnacentral:lncRNA from 1 species